rnacentral:tRNA from 1 species
UCCCCGAUAGCUCAGUUGGUAGAGCGCCGGACUGUUAAUCCGUAGGUCCCAGGUUCGAGCCCUGGUCGGGGAGCCA